AGCAAACUGAUGAGUUGUAUGCAACGGAGCAAAGAGUUGUUGGCUGGAGUCUUGUAAAUCAGCAGAAGACCAGUGACCAAAUAGAUUUGUAUUUAUUUUCCUGGAGUUACCCCCUUCUUUGACUCUCAGCUUUAAAUUUCGGAGAAGAGAGAAGAGAAAGAAGGUGGCAGAGCCUGGUGAGAGGACACUAGAGAACAUGUCCUUGCUUCACAAUUUGGUUGCCAUAUAAACAUGAAUUGAGUAGAGCUUCCUGAGUUUGCACAAAGGGCUAAACUUCUGCUAGGACCAUGGGAAAAGACUAGAGGGGCCAAUGGCCAAGAGAUGACCACUUCCAUAGAGGAAACACUCUGACCAGGCCCCACUAGGCACAAGACCCCUUUCUCCAGUGCUGUGUGGAGAUUGGAUUUGAAGAGGAGAAAGCUGGGAGCAAGAGACCAGUAGAGCUGUUGCCGUGGUACAGGCAGAGGUAGCAGAAUAACAGGAAUCAAUAUAAACAACCUAAGUGGAAUACCUCGGAAAGAAAGAAAUAUUAUUUUUGCUGAUGCACAAGUAUUAUUUUGAAAAAUCAUGAAGAUCUCCAUUAGGAAAUCAUUCUUCCUUGGCAUUGUGUUGCAUGCUCAACAAAUAGAAGAUGAGAAAACGGAGACCCAGAGAUGUUACAGAACCUGCUCAUCAAGUGUAUCCAGCCAGUGUGACAAUUUAUACGGAAGAAUCAGAUGGCUUUUUGGGUUGUGGAAAUUUCUGCCACCUCCUUCUACCAUAUUGGAACUGGCAGGAUUUCUGGAAUCAUCAGGUUCAACCCGGUGCUAGAGGUAUGACCUAAAUCUUUAGCUGUCUUUCUCCCAUAGAAAAUGGUAAACAAAUCCUUGUUGGCAAAAUGAAUGAAUAUUUAUUUCUUAAAUUUCAGUGAGAAUAUAAUAACUUUUGGUUAUUUAUAUUACACUCCCAAGCACAUCUGCUCAUGUUAUUUCAACCACAUUCCUCAAAUACAACUUUCUUCAGUGCUAACUGCUCCAAACAUCUAAAUAUCGGCAUAGGUACAGAAACCGUUGACUGUUAAUACUUUUCACAUUUCCUUGUUGAAUGUAUGCUUUAGAGAAACUUUAAAAGAUGAUCUGUCUGAUCGAGAGACCCCUUGGUCCUCAAAAUGUUCUCAGCUUUUAGCAUUGAAACAACAAUAAUGAUUUGCUUCGUUUG